rnacentral:lncRNA from 1 species
GUUUCAAACUUUCAAUCUUACGUAAACUAAUUAUAGUAUGUUAAAAAAAUACAUGUUUGGAUAAUCGUACACCGACUGCUAUUAUAAUACUCAUUCUUGCUAUAUACGUAAAGUUACCGAACUGUUUACAAACUUACAGAAAGAAACAUCCAAACACUCCCUAAAACAACAACAAAGUGACGAACAAAGCAAAAGAAAUAAUGAAUUUAACUUCAAAUUCACAGGUAUUGUUACCAAAAUUUAGCUAAAUCUAAAACUGCAUUGCGUACCGACGGUACUGUUACAAAUCCCGAACCGGUACGGUACCACAUGGUACUGAUACUGAAGUUUAGCUUAAUUUAAAACAAAAUACAAUACAAUAUAUGAUCGGUCGGUACCGGUACCGGCAUAGUACAUUACCAGUACUGGUAUCGGUACAGGUAUUCGGUAAAAAACUUCUCAAUUCUCAUCCCUGACUUAAACAAUAAUCAACCACUUAACUCACUGAUGUCAUCCAUGAAUUGACCAAAAUUCAUACUCAAAACUGAGUUAAAACUAUAUCAAAUCAUAUGAAUUUUAUUUCAAUCUCUACAUCUCCUAAACAGAGUCAACAAAAUAAAAACAAUUAACAUCUACAUACAACCACAGAAUGAACAGAAUGAUUAACACCUAUACCUGAUCAAUUUCGUCCCACCACCGGAACUCCGCUUGCAUCUUAUUCCGACAAACAUUAUACAAAAGCGUAGGGUAAAACAGGAUCCGAGCACCGGCACCUACCAACGCUCUCUUAGCAUCCACCGUAACAACAUACCUACUAACACUAUAAUCAACAAUUCGUUGAUCACUUUUCACAUCCGUCAAAUCAUCCAAAUCCUCGAUCUUCAUGUCACAGAUCGCAACCAAAAUUCGAACAAAACCAAAACCGUAACCCUAACAAUCAACACGAUCGCUUUAACUAAACACCGAGACGUAAUUGCAAGGUUUAAGAGACGAAAAUAGAGACGAUACGCAACAUGAUCAUUGAUGAGUGGUUGAAAACCCUAGAAAUAAUGAAUUGAGCUAUUAUGGCAAAAUUGUACCGAAUUGAGGAUGAAAUUGAUCGGUUUGAAGUGGAAAUUAAAUAA